rnacentral:rRNA from 1 species
UACUGAGGGUGCGAGCGUUGAUCGGAAUUACUGGGCGUAAAGCGUGCGUAGACGGUCGUGCAAGUCGGGUGUGAAAGCCCCAGGCUCAACCUGGGAAUUGCAUUCGAGACUGCUCGGCUAGGGUGCGGAAGAGGGAAGCGGAAUUUCCGGUGUAGCGGUGAAAUGCGUAGAUAUCGGAAGGAACACCAGUGGCGAAAGCGGCUUCCUGGUCCGACACCGACGUUCAGACACGAAAGCGUGGGGAGCAAACAGG